AUCUUUCUUUAUAUGAUAUGGGUUUGGUAGUCUUUCAUCAAGCCAACAAUCUUCUCCAUUUUCUUUCUUCAGGGGUGGUUAGUCAAACAUUAGGGAGGGGGGAUAAGGUAAGGUAAGGUAAGUUAGAAUCGAAUUCGAAACCGACGGGGCGCUGCUGGAUGCUUCUGAUUAAUAGAACAAGAAGAGGAGUCAGCUAAAAAGAAAGACCACCAAAAGCAACGACCACCAAGACACGCAUAGUGAUU
rnacentral:lncRNA from 1 species